rnacentral:rRNA from 1 species
UACGUAGGGUGCGAGCGUUGUCCGGAAUUAUUGGGCGUAAAGAGCUCGUAGGCGGUCUGUCGCGUCGGUCGUGAAAACUUGGGGCUUAACCCUGAGCUUGCGGUCGAUACGGGCAUGACUGGAGUUCGGCAGGGGAGGACUGGAAUUCCUGGUGUAGCGGUGAAAUGCGCAGAUAUCAGGAGGAACACCGGUGGCGAAGGCGGGUCUCUGGGCCGAUACUGACGCUGAGGAGCGAAAGCGUGGGGAGCGAACAGG